CAGCAGCCGCGGUAAUACGUAGGUGGCAAGCGUUGUCCGGAACUAUUGGGCGUAAAGGGCUCGCAGGCGGUUUCUUAAGUCUGAUGUGAAAGCCCCCGGUUCAACCGGGGAGGGUCAUUGGAAACUGGGAAACUUGAGUGCAGAAGAGGAGAGUGGAAUUCCACGUGUAGCGGUGAAAUGCGUAGAGAUGUGGAGGAACACCAGUGGCGAAGGCGACUCUCUGGUCUGUAACUGACGCUGAGGAGCGAAAGCGUGGGGAGCGAACAGGAUUAGAUACCCCAGUAGUCCCUGUCUCUUAUAC
rnacentral:rRNA from 1 species